UGGCGACCGGCGCACGGGUGAGUAACGCGUAUGCAACUUACCUAUCAGAGGGGGAUAGCCCGGCGAAAGUCGGAUUAAUACCCCAUGAAACAGGGGUCCCGCAUGGGAAUAUUUGUUAAAGAUUCAUCGCUGAUAGAUAGGCAUGCGUUCCAUUAGGCAGUUGGCGGGGUAACGGCCCACCAAACCGACGAUGGAUAGGGGUUCUGAGAGGAAGGUCCCCCACAUUGGUACUGAGACACGGACCAAACUCCUACGGGAGGCAGCAGUGAGGAAUAUUGGUCAAUGGCCGAGAGGCUGAACCAGCCAAGUCGCGUGAAGGAAGAAGGAUCUAUGGUUUGUAAACUUCUUUUAUAGGGGAAUAAAGUGGAGGACGUGUCCUUUAUUGUAUGUACCCUAUGAAUAAGCAUCGGCUAACUCCGUGCCAGCAGCCGCGGUAAUACGGAGGAUGCGAGCGUUAUCCGGAUUUAUUGGGUUUAAAGGGUGCGUAGGUGGUGAUUUAAGUCAGCGGUGAAAGUUUGUGGCUCAACCAUAAAAUUGCCGUUGAAACUGGGUUACUUGAGUGUGUUUGAGGUAGGCGGAAUGCGUGGUGUAGCGGUGAAAUGCAUAGAUAUCACGCAGAACUCCGAUUGCGAAGGCAGCCUGCUAAGCUGCAACUGACAUUGAGGCUCGAAAGUGUGG
rnacentral:rRNA from 1 species